GCUGUAGUAGCUCAGUUGGUUAGAGUGUCACGUUGUGGCUGAAGGUCUUGGGUUCGAGUCUCAAUCUCGGUUACAGCA